rnacentral:lncRNA from 1 species
UUCGGACGGCCAUGCUGAUAAAGUGAUAACGACAAAAGAUGGAUAUAAAGUUGAGUGUACAUAUAUCUAGGCGAGCGUCUACGUUUGUACUAUGAUCUACAAAGAUAUAUGCAAUUUAUUAAAAAAGAUAUGCAUGUAAUAAAUGCACAUAAACAAAUAUGCCUCUUUGCUUAAUAUGUAAGUUUCAAAAACAAAGAUAAAAGGCGUCAUGGCAGCAGUAUAAAUGAAUACCUGCGCCCUUCUCUUUUCCUCCUCACUCGACAAAAACAAAUCUCCCUAAUUUCAGUCAUGAAGGCCCAGGUCGCAGCAGCAACUGUCUUGGUCUUGCUCCUCCUGACCUUUGGUGAGUAAAUUCAUCCAAUCCCUGCCAAAGAAAAAGAAAUUGAACAUGAAUAUAGGCAGUAGCACUUGUUUUAUCCAUCCAAAUGUCCUGACUCGCCAUUGUUUUGAUUAUCUGGCUGAGCAUGUAGCUGCGGAGGCUCGUACGUGCAUGUCGCGAAGCCAGGAACAGAAAGGGAGGUGCUUUCACGAUACGGAUUGUGCCGCCGUCUGCGUCAAACAGAGC